CCAUAAAUACAUUUAGACUUUGACAUAUGACAUUUGUCACUAUGAACGAAAUUUACAAUUACUAAUUAAUAAUUUUAUUUCCUUUACUAUGUUAAAUCAACAAUGUAGAUAUGAUCUAGUAUCAUAUGUGUUUUUGCAUCUGUGUACCUCAGUUGUGCUGCUAUCCUUCUCUCUUCAGUCCUUGUCUUGCUUGUCUGCCUUUCUGCAUUAAAGGUAUUAAAUGGUGCCAAUGCUUUAUCGUUAACUACGACAGCGAGGAAAACUUGCACCCGUCUGCACAACAGAUCAACAAAAAUCGAGAAUCUUACUAAUUGACAAUUAGUUAUACGAUAUGCAUAAUAAAAUUCUUUACAUUUG